rnacentral:rRNA from 1 species
GACGAACGCUGGCGGCGUGCUUAACACAUGCAAGUCGAACGGUAAGGCUCCAGCUUGCUGGGGUACACGAGUGGCGAACGGGUGAGUAACACGUGGGUGACCUGCCCUGCACUUCGGGAUAAGCCUGGGAAACUGGGUCUAAUACCGGAUAGGACCAUGGUGUGGAUACUGUGGUGGAAAGUUUUUUCGGUGUGGGAUGGGCCCGCGGCCUAUCAGCUUGUUGGUGGGGUAAUGGCCUACCAAGGCGGCGACGGGUAGCCGGCCUGAGAGGGUGGACGGCCACAUUGGGACUGAGACACGGCCCAGACUCCUACGGGAGGCAGCAGUGGAGAAUAUUGCACAAUGGGCGGAAGCCUGAUGCAGCGACGCCGCGUGGGGGAUGACGGCCUUCGGGUUGUAAACUCCUUUCACCAUCGACGAAGGGUUUCUGACGGUAGAUGGAGAAGAAGCACCGGCUAACUACGUG